AUACGGAGGGUGCGAGCGUUAAUCGGAAUUACUGGGCGUAAAGGGUGCGUAGGCGGCUUGAUAAGUCGGAUGCGAAAGCCCCGGGCUUAACCUGGGAAUUGCAUUCGAUACUGUCAGGCUAGAGUAUGUCAGAGGUUGGCGGAAUUCCUGGUGUAGCGGUGAAAUGCGUAGAUAUCAGGAGGAACACCAGUGGCGAAGGCGGCUAACUGGGACAAUACUGACGCUGAGGCACGAAAGCGUGGGGAGCAAACAGGAUUAGAAACCCCAGUAGUCC
rnacentral:rRNA from 1 species